rnacentral:rRNA from 1 species
UACGGGGGGGGCAAGCGUUGUUCGGAAUUACUGGGCGUAAAGGGCUCGUAGGUGGCCAACUAAGUCAGACGUGAAAUCCCUCGGCUUAACCGGGGAACUGCGUCUGAUACUGGAUGGCUUGAGAUUGGGAGAGGGAUGCGGAAUUCCAGGUGUAGCGGUGAAAUGCGUAGAUAUCUGGAGGAACACCAAUGGCGAAGGCGGCAUCCUGGACCGGUAUUGACGCUGAGGCGCGAAAGCCAGGGGAGCAAACGGG